AUCUUUCUUCUUCCUUUUCAUUUCUAGCACUUGCUCUGUCUAUUUAUUUGAAUAGAUAGGAGCUUAAUGGAAAUAAAUUGUCGGUUGUACUUAAAACUGUACAUUGUUAGUUCGAGGAUAUACCUAGAUUCAGGCUAGCUGAGGCUCAGAUGGUGAACAUACUGAUGCCCUUGCAGAGGAGAUAAAAUUUACUGUACAAGUUUUAAGGGUGUAAAAAGGGAGGAGGUAGUGGAUUUGUGAUCGUGACUGUACAAAAUAUUACCAGGCAUGGAUGGCCUUUGUGUUUAGGAGAGUCCGGAAUUUUUGGCAUGUAUGGAUCAUAUAGUUUUCUUAUUUAAAAGAACUUUUUCUCCCCUUUCCUUUGCUGUGGCUUGCUUGAGAAUGUAUCAUCUAUGGGUUGCUUGGUUUACUGUACUUGUUAUUGGUAUUUUACAUGAUUGUUUCUCCAAGUUUAGUUGUUUUAUCCUCGUCUUUUCCGGUGACUAGUUCAGUUGAUUUCAUUUUCACUUAGGACGCAUCUGAAAAUUAACGGCUGCUGUUUUUAUUUUUUGAUACAAAAAUAAUGGCUUUCAUGUGGCAGCACAGUGAACAUUGUGUAUGAUGAUGUUUUAGUUCAGAUUAGCCAAGUUUUGUUCCUUCUAACUUGCACGAUGUUUUAGUUAGAAUAAUCUCUCUUGGGACUGCCCGUUUUCUGAUCUUUGUUCCUAAGGUUCACAUACUGUGGUUAAACUCUUAACUUGUAAUCACAGCUAGAAAUAGAAGGUAACUUUUUGAUGUAAAAAGGGUUUCAAGAAAAGAAAAGGGUUUCAAUUCAAGAAUAGGGUGAGUUUCAACUUUCAAGAAAAGGAAGGAGCUAUCUAUCUUAACUAUUAGUCUUCCUGGUAAUAUAGUUUGAGAAAAAGCAAUCAGACAAUUUGGUUAUGUGGGAGAUCAUAAGGUAAAUAGGGGGCAUAAUGAAAUGUUCACUGCACAAGAAGAAAAUAGUCAUUCCUGUAAAAGAGCAUGUAACCGAGGACUUCUUUCCUCUAAAAUAUAAUUCAACUAGUAUUCAAAGUCAAAAGUGGCAAGAGCAUUACAUGGUUUUGUCUGUGACUUUAUCAGAUAUGAAACCCAGUUAUCAGUUGCCCCUCUUUGGAAAAGGGUUUGUUAAAAAUGAUACUAUUGGCCUGUUAAAACUAACUAUAUAGUAAAGUUCUUGGAAUAUUUUUCUCAUAAACAUGUGGGAUUUGAAAAUUAAUUUUAUUAAUAGAUUUAUAUAUUUGCGUCCUUGACAUUUCUCAUUAAAUCAGAGUGCUUUUUCUGAAGAAAAAAGAAUGAAUUUAUCUAUUAUUUAUUUAAUACACACUUCUUAAGAAAAAAAGAAAAGAAAAAGAAAAACAAUUUUUUUUUGCUUAUGAUGAUGCUCAGCUCUUAAGACUUGUAGGGCUCCUAAAUAUGUUAUCACCUUCUGCGCUCCUAAUUGAUGCUUGAUUUUAGCAUAUUAGAUCACUGUAAGGGAGGGGCAUUCACCAUGUUUCUUCAGGAUUUCUUCAUCUUUGAUACUGCUAUUGUUUGCUACUUGGAACUUUGCUUAACAUUAGCCUUUUCCCCUUAGGGUUUUGUUAAAGUAAAAUCAGUCAUGUGCAUAAAAUUCAAACUUGAUUCUUACUUUGUCGAGACAUCAGUCGCCAUAAACAAAUAUCCAUCAAGCUUCUGAUAAUCUUCAAUGAAGUUUGAUCUGCUUUGAGUUUUGCGUAAGCCUACUACCGUACAACCUUUCAGUUUGCCAUAUUUAUGCGGUUCCCUAAUUGUGUAUUCUUCCUCCAAGAAUUUUGCUUGAAAUUAUUUGUCCUUUUGCAGACACCCCUGCGAAGAAAUUUGCCUUCCUUUCUCCAUCUCUGCUGCUAUCAUAUUCCUUCCAUUGAUAUUAUUCAACUAUGAAAUUUAAUUAAGAGCUUAUGCUUGUAAAAAAUAUAAAAAGAAAUACUCAAGGAAAGUUUAAUAAUCAAUAUUUCCCAAAAUUGGAAAAUAGAAAUUAAUUUCUUUAAUAUCAUGUGUUUAAUUUUUAUUUAUUUGUAUUUAUAUGAACCUGAAAUUUGUUUGAGCUAAAAUUUGCAAAAAAGUUUACCUCCAGAACAUUUGGAAGCGGAAGUAUAGCUUCUAAUUUUAGUUUCCUUGCCAUGGAUAUCAAGAAUUGCAUGUUUAGUUGCAGGGAACUUUUCUAUUUUUAUUUUUAUUGAAAAUUUAUAAAAUAUAUUUACUUGUUAUCAAAAUAAAAAGAGUUUAUUUUUUAUUUGGAUAAUAUUAUAAAUUUAAAAAGUAAACUUAGAAAAUAUUAAGUGAAAAUUUAUUAUUUUCAUUUAAAAUAAAUAACUUUUUAUAUAAAAAGAUAUAGAAAAAAUAUUAAAGUUUAAUUAUAUUUUUAAUUUUUAUCUUAAAAAAAUAAUAUACAUAAACAUAAAAUACUAUUUUUAAUUUUGUUGAAAUUCUUUUUAAAAGUUUGACAUAAUAUAAAUAAACACACCUCAAUUACUUUUUACUCUUUAGGUUGAAUUUCUAAAAAUUGCAAUUUCUUUGAUGGUGGUUUAAGUUUUAGCCAUAGAGAUUUUUUUCCAUUGGGAUAUUCCUCAAGAGUUGUUAUAUCUGAUUAUCUAAGACUGUUGAUAAUGCUUUUUCAUCUUAAUAUAUUAUCAAUUUUAUUCUAAAAGAAAAAGACCUAAAUACAAUUAAAAGAAAAAGUAUUAAAAAAACUAUUAGACUGGCAUUAAUUCACAGGAAAUAAAACCCUAAAGGACCUCUUGUAAGAACAAAUCCUUAUAGAAUCAAUCCCUGCCGUCACUUCACAAAUCCAACGCUCCAGAUCUCCCUAUUGCUAGUGCUUAUCACCCUCCUCUUUUCUCACUUCACUCUCUCUCUACGAGUCUCUGUCUCUAUUUCUCUCUCUAAAAGAAACAUGGCAAAACCCUUUACCAUCAUUUGAUCAUCUUCAACAAACACUUCACUUCUUCAUUCUCAAUCUGAUCUCUCUUUCUAUAUUUAUGACCAAAGUUACCCUCUUUAACUCAAUACCCACAUCUGAACACAUCAUCAACAACUUCGUAAUUUUUUUUGGUUGUGGUUUUUGAGGAUUUUAUGUUUUUGUUUCGUUUUGGGUUAUGUGGGUUUUUGGUUUUGAUCAACAAGAACUACUUGUUUGAACAUAAAAAGCAAAACCCAGUUCAAAUUUAGCUAUUUUUAGCGCUUAAAGUUUGAAACUUUAUUUAUCUACUAAUGAUCACAGAUACAUAUUCAAAGAUUUUACCUGAUAUUUCAAUGCGAUCAAUGCUCAAAAACGAGGAUUUGAGCAAACUAAUUAGAGAGCAAAGGUUACAACAAGAGGCAGUGAGUGAUAGAGAGAAAGAACUUAAUAUUUAUAGAAGCGGGUCUGCACCACCUACAGUAGAAGGUUCUUUAAACUCUAUUGGAGGGUUAUUUAGCGCAACUGAGUUAGCUGGUAUAGCAAAGAGUAAUAGUAAAGGCGGGUUCUUGAGUGAAGAAGAGAUAAGGUCUGAUCCUGCUUAUGUAAAUUAUUACUAUUCUAAUGUUAACUUGAAUCCAAGAUUACCUCCUCCUUUGUUAUCUAAAGAAGAUUGGAGGUUUGCACAAAGAUUACAUGGUGGUGGUGCUGAAGUUAAUUCUGCUGUUGGAGAUAGAAGGAAGGGGAGUAGUAGAGGUGGUGAAAACGAAGGGAAUAGGUCUCUCUUUGCUGUGCAGCCAGGGUUUGGAGGAGGAAACGAAGAGAACGGGAAUGGUGGUGGAGUUGAGUGGGGAGGAGAUGGAUUGAUUGGGUUGCCGGGUUUAGGCCUAGGAAGUAGGCAAAAGAGCAUUGCAGAAAUCUUUCAGGUGGACAACAUGAACUUCUGCUUCCUUUUUGUUGUUGUUUUUUUUUUUUUUUUUGAAACAUUACUUGCUUUCCAUGCGCCGCUUAUUGCAAAUGCUCAGAUUUUUUUUAAUGGAUUGUGGCUGUUAGAUAUUGUGUGUUUUCCAGUAUGAUGAAGGGAUGGUGUUUAUUGCAAAUGGUAUGUGAAAUAUGAUGAUCCUUUUCUUAGCUAUCGUCAAUGUUGUCUGUCAAAAUAUUUUUGUGAAAGUUAGAGUGUAUUUUAUAAUUUGCAGUGUACGUGCAAUAUAUACUGUGAUCUGUAAAUUCUGUUUCUUUUUGGAAGAAUCUAUGUUAGUUUUUAGGUCUGUAGCUUGUAUGCUGUAUUUAGGGUUAGUAAUAUUUUGGUAUUUAUAUUUAAGUCAUUAUUAUUGCUCUAUCAUUUAUCUUUUCUAAGAAUUGAUUGCAACAGCAUUGACUUUGAUAUGAUUAUGAGAAUUAAUUCAUCUUCUUUUCCAUUUUUGGAUGUCUAUUGAUUGCUCUAUGUUGGUGGAUAUGGAUCAUCUCAGUUUGUUUCCUCUCGUUCUUUUAUUUGGCAAUUAUGUCCCUUCUGUUUAGUAAGCAUGUGCCCGUCAUUAUCUUGUACUAAUUAAAGUUGUUAUUUCAAUUGUUUGAUAGUGUUUUGUAAGUGAGGGCCUAUCGAUUUAUCCUUUUGCUUUUUAUUCUGUGUAUCUUGCUUUCUCUUCUCCCUUGUAUGAAUAUAGAUUUUAUGAUUUUGAACAAAAAUACAUAUAUAUGCAAGUUUUUAUCAGUGUUCAUUAAGUCUGCAAUUGGGAUAGCUAGCCCAUAUAUGGGUGAUUUAUGAUAGAAUAAUGUCCAUCACCAAUGUUUCUUUCUCACUUGCUUCAUUCACUGAAUUUGCACUUCUGCUUUUAGUGGUUCUUUUUUAACAAAUGCAAGUUUAAUAUGCUUCUCGCUAAGUGGUUUGUUUUUGAGAAUUCAGGAUGAUAUGAGUCAUGCAAAUUCCACCUCAAGGCAUCCUUCACGUCCAUCUAGUCGCAAUGCAUUUGAUGACGAUGUAGAUAAUUCUGAACCACAGUUUGCUCAGCUGCACAAUUUAACAUCUUCUGAUGCUUUGCGCUCUGUGGCAAAUAAACAAGGUGUUUCUGUGGUCCCAAAUGUUGGUGCGACAGCUUCUCAUAGCUAUGCUUCUGCUUUAGGUGCCUCUUUGUCACGAAGCACUACGCCUGAUCCUCACCUUGUAGCUAGAGCUCCUAGUCCUCGCAUUCCACCUAUUGGAGGAGGUAGGGCCAAUUCUAUUGAUAAAAGAGAUGUGAAUGGUUCAAACUCAUUUAAAGGUGUCUCAAGCUUGAAUGAAUCUGCUGAGCUAGUAGCUGCUUUGUCUGGAUUGAAUCUGUCAACGGUUGAUGAAGAGAAUCAUGCGCGGUCACACAGGCAACAUAACAUUGACGAUCACCAUAAUCUCUUCAAUUUACAAGGUGACCAAAACCACGUCAAGCAACAGUCAUUCUUGAAUAAGCCUGUUUCAUCUGCUAACUCUUAUUUAAAGGGUCCCUCAACACAAACUCUCAGUGGCAGAGGAGGUUCUCCUUCUGAACUCCAGAAUAUUGAUAACAUGAACUCGGCAUUUCCAAACUAUGGCUUGGGUGGGUAUCCUAUGAAUCCUUCAUCUCCAUCUAUGUUGGCAAGCCAACUUGGAAGUGGGAGUUUGCCACCGCUAUUUGAAAGUGCGGCUGCUGCAUCUGCAAUGGGAGGAACUGGAUUGGAUUCUAGAGCACUUGGUGCUUUAGGACCAAACUUAGUGGCUGCCGCAGCAGAAUUACAAAAUCUCAGUAGAGUUGGAAAUCAGAACACUAAUAAUGGCCUUCAGAUGCCCCUCAUGGACCCUUUAUAUCUUCAGUACAUGAGGUCAAAUGAGUAUGCUGCUGCACAGCUUGCAGCUCUCAAUGACCCUACUAUGGAUAGGGAGUACCUUGGUAAUUCAUACAUGGAUCUGCUCCAAAAAGCUUACUUAGGAGCUUUGCUUUCACCUCAAAAAUCACAAUAUGGUGUUCCUUAUCUUGGCAAUUCUGGCAGCAUGAAUCAUAACUACUAUGGUAAUCCAGCAUUUGGUCUUGGCAUGUCCUAUUCUGGAAGCCCAAUAGGGGGUCCCCUUCUUCCCAGUUCUCCUAUUGGAUCGGGCAGUCCUGUCAGGCACAGUGAAAGAAACAUGCGCUUUACUGCUGGGAUGAGGAAUUUGUCUGGUGGUGUCAUGGGAUCUUGGCACUCAGAAACUGGUGGUAACCUUGGCGAGGAUUUUCCUUCCUCUUUGCUUGAUGAGUUCAAAAGCAAUAAAACUAAAUGUUUUGAACUCUCAGAAAUUGCAGGUCAUGUUGUCGAGUUCAGGUAUACCUCACCUUGUCCCUCUGUUGUUGUCUUUUUUUUGGCCCUCGAGAAUUUAAUUCUCACAUUGUACCAUGCGUUUAACGAACAGUGCCGAUCAGUAUGGGAGUCGAUUCAUUCAGCAGAAACUUGAAACUGCUACCACAGAAGAGAAAAACAUGGUCUUCAAUGAAAUUAUGCCGCAAGCCCUUUCUUUAAUGACAGAUGUUUUUGGUAAUUAUGUGAUUCAAAAGGUAUUUCUUAUUUUGAUACUCAAGCCUAUGAUUUUCUUGUUGAAUCGUUACUCUUAGUAUGUUCAUAUGCCCAAAUGAGCUAGAGUUCAUAAAUGUGUGGAAGCAGAAAUAUCACUUAAGCUUGGUUCUGCCUUCAGUUUUUUGAGCAUGGAUCUGCUGCCCAAAUAAGGGAACUGGCUGACCAGCUAACUGGGCAUGUCUUGACGCUUAGCCUUCAAAUGUAUGGUUGUCGAGUGAUCCAGAAGGUAUGUUUACUUAGCGACUCCUCUGCGGAACUUUCACUUUGACAGGUUUUUAAUUCUAAAAUGGUGCCACUUUUGUGGUUCUAUCUAUUAGCAUGUGUUGAAUUACGUGGCAGUGACUCUCAAUAAUGCAUCAUAGCCAAAAUUAUGAGUCUCUGUCACACCUCUUGAAUUUUGGAUAUUCUCAGUUCUGACCUGGACCAUUCACCUUCUUUGUGGGCAUCAGAUAUCUUGAAUUUCUGGAAAACCAUGGGUUAUUGGACUUUAAUUUUCUCAAACAGCCUUUAUUUUUGCUUGUUAAAUAUAGCUUAUCAAGUUAUUUGUUUUCUUUUGUAAAAGGUCUGUUUAUGCACCUGCUUGUCUAACUUCAAUAUAUUUGAUUAUUGAAACCCAAGUUUUAAAUUAGAUGAUGUUUGAUCUUGAUAACCAGGCCAUAGAAGUGGUUGAGCUGGACCAGCAGACUAAAAUGGUGGCAGAACUUGAUGGCCAUAUCAUGCGUUGUGUGCGUGAUCAGAAUGGAAACCAUGUCAUUCAGAAGUGUAUUGAAUGUGUACCUGAAGAUGCUAUACAGUUUAUUGUCUCAACGUUUUAUGAUCAAGUUGUGACACUGUCCACUCAUCCCUAUGGGUGUCGAGUCAUACAGGUCUAUAUAAUUUGUUUCUUCACUUACACAUAUGUAAACAAACAUUUGUAUGUGCGGACGUAUUUGUAAAUACGCUGAUAUAUGCUAUAAUAUAUGCAUGUAUAUAUGUAUAUUUUAUAAAGAGCCAGUUGUAUGAUUCUAACUUGAUAUUAAUUCUGACAGAGGGUCCUGGAGCACUGCCAUGACGCAAAAACACAGCGUAUUAUGAUGGAUGAGAUUUUGCAAUCUGUUCUUAUGUUGGCACAGGAUCAGUAUGGAAAUUAUGUUGUACAGGUUUGUUAUAUGAUGUUCGCAUAUGAAUAAUGCUGCAUUUAACUAUUCUCUAUAAAUUAUAUAUGUGAUUUACGGUACUGGAUGGUGGCAGUAAAUAUGUUGGUAAAUUUGUUUCAAGUUUGGAUAAACAUCAGCAGCAUACAAACAAGGGAAAGAUACAUCAUUUGUUGAGAAUUCUUUUUUUUUUUUUUUAAAUUUCUUUAAUAGGAAACUUCAUAAUCUGCCUUUAUUUAUAUGACAUCUAUUUAGUUCUUCCAUGAUAUGCAAUGUUUGAUCUCUCUAGCCUCAGGGAACAAGGUGGUGCUGUUUAUGAGAAAACAUCUUACUAUUAAUUUUUGUAGAGAAUACCUUGGUAGAGCUGCUAGGUGUGCCUAGAGAAUAAAAACUGCAUAGGAAUUUUUUUUUUUUAUUUCUUUAGCUGCAAGGAAGAGAGGCGACAUGUUGAUGAGAGAACAUAUUAUAUUCUUUAAUGUUUUGGAACGUAUGUCUGUUAGAACUGUUAGGUGUGCCAAAAGAACAAAUAAAUGCACAGAAAAUUCAAUAAUUGGUACGCAGAAGGAACCUAACAAUCUUAGCAUCUCAUUUUUAGAAAUAGGUGAAAGCCAUUAUACACUAGAAAUAGGUGAAAGGAAGAAACUUAUCGGAAACCCAAGUUUGAUUAAGAGUUGGAGAGAAGAGGUGGAAGAAAAGGCUCAGAAAGGUUUUAAGAGUAUUUUUUAGUCCUGUAUUGUUAUUUCCAUGAUUGAGUUGAGAAUACAUAAUAUUCUAUCAUAAUGAAAAUCAGCAAUAGUUAGAUAUAAUAUGUUAGAUCAAUUUACGUCUCCUUGCUAGGAAAUGCUUGAAAAAGUAUCUCAAAUCAAAACGUAUACCCUACAAGUUAUUGCUUGAUGGUUUCUUUCUUUGGCUGAAUUGCAUUCAACAAUUUCAACCAUUUAUCCGCGUGUGCUUACAUUUGGUAAAAGCUGGCCUAUGAUUAUUAUAUGACAUGUAAAGUUAAUGUGAAAUGUAUUUGCUGUCACACUUGAUGUGCCUGAAAAUUGUCUACUAUGUGCAGCUGACCCUCAUGUUUUGUCCCUUUGAUGGAUGUAGUGCUUUUUUUAACAACCCCCUCACCAAGUCAAUAACCGCUGGUCUCACUUUCCCUUUUUUUUCCCUUCCUGCUUGGACAGACCUUCUAAGCGUUUAUUGUUUUACCUAUUAUCUAACUGAGCUGCUCUAAUUGAUUGCAAAAUAUUUCAGCAUGUGUUGGAGCACGGGAAACCUCAUGAACGUUCAUCAAUAAUAAAGAAAUUAACUGGACAGAUAGUUCAAAUGAGUCAGCAGAAGUUUGCCUCCAAUGUUAUAGAGAAGUGUUUAACAUUUGGUACUCCAGCAGAACGCCAGGCCUUGGUGAAUGAGAUGCUUGGUACCACUGAUGAAAAUGAGCCGCUUCAGGUUUAUAAAAUAAUUCGUUUGCUCCCUACAGUUCAAUAGGUUCCAUUGUGAUUCUAAUGCAAAAGAAAUGCAUUAUACUAUAUUUGAGUCCUAGACUCUCAUAUCGAUUUUGCACAUUUUCUACUUUUUCUUUAAUGCUUUUGUUGCUUUUCAUUAGCAAAUGUGUUGGUUUCAUGCUUACUAUAUCAUUUGUAUUUUGUGUUUGUCGUUGCAUGCAGGUUAUGAUGAAAGAUCAGUUUGCUAAUUAUGUUGUACAGAAAGUGCUGGAAACUUGUGAUGACCAGCAACUUGAACUAAUCCUAAACCGAAUAAAGGUUCACUUAAAUGCUCUGAAGAAGUAUACUUAUGGGAAGCAUAUAGUUGCACGUGUAGAGAAACUUGUUGCAGCUGGAGGUAAUUCUAUUUCUUUCUUUGUUUUGCUCUCUGUAACUUGAUCUGAUUUUGUACUUAUUUGUACUUAAAAGGAAAAUCUUAUGCAAAGCUUUUAUGUCUUUCUGUUUUCUUCACCACGUCCAUUUGGUGGUUAUUGUUUGACAAUUAAUUUAGGACUGGUGUUCACUGUUUAUGCCUGGAUGACCAAUAUUAUUGUAUCAAAUGGGCCAAGACAAAUAACAAUGGCAUCUGAAUUUAUGCUUUUGUUAUUGUAAUGAGUUAGUGAGGGUUGCAAAACAAUCGAGCCUUUCCCAUAUAGGUGCCUUUGUUCCCUUUGCAAGCCUGAUAAUUAUUAUUUUAUCAUUGAUGUUACUGCCCUUUUCUUAUCUAAAGAUAACUUAAUCGCACUUAUGAAAGAUCUUGAAGUAAGAUUCCUUCUUCUCAAUGCUAGGAACUUUCCAUGAGAUGAGGUGUGGAAGACUAAUGUCAUAUGUUAGUUGCAUAAGAAGUGUACAGAAACAACUCUUAACUAGUGCUCUUUCUCUUUUUGCAGAGAGGAGGAUCAGCUUCCUUACCCUGCACCCUGCUGCUUAGAUGGCAUAGGAGAAGUUGUACAGCUAACUGAAGAUAGUACGAGUGCCUCUCUCUCUCUCUCUCUCUCUCUCUCCCCCAUCUUUCUUCUUUCUUUUCAUAUCUAGCACUUUUCUGUCUAUUUUUUUGAAUAGAUAGGAGCUUAAUGGGAAUAAAUUGUCGGUUGUACUUAAAACUGUACAUUGUUAGUUUGAGGAUAUACCUAGAUUCAGGCUAGCUGAGGCUCAGAUGGGUUGAACAUACUGAUGCCCCUGCAGAGGAGAUAAAAAUUUACUGUACAAGUUUUAAGAGUGUAAAAAGGGAGGAGGUUGUGGAUUUGUGAUCCC
rnacentral:lncRNA from 1 species